rnacentral:rRNA from 1 species
AUACGUAGGUGGCAAGCGUUGUCCGGAAUUAUUGGGCGUAAAGCGCAUGUAGGCGGUUUGGUAAGUCGGUCGUGAAAAUGCGGUGCUUAACGCCGUAUGGCGAUUGAAACUGCUGAACUUGAGUGCAGGAGAGGAAAGGGGAACUCCCAGUGUAGCGGGGAAAUGCGUAGAUAUUAGGAGGAACACCGGUGGCGAAGGCGGCUUUCUGGACUGUAACUGACGCUGAGGGCGAAAGCGUGGGGAGCGAACAGGAUUAGAUACCCUGGUAGUCCACGCUGUAAACGAUGGAUACUAGGUGUAGGGGGUAUCGACUCCCUCUGUGCCGGAGCGAACGCAAUAAGUAUCCCGCCUGGGGAGUACGGCCGCAAGGUUGAAACUCAAAUGAAUUGACGGGG